rnacentral:lncRNA from 1 species
CUUUUGUUCAUGGGAUGGAGUGACCAGUUGUGAGGUCAGACAGCAGGGCUGUGGCUGAGCCACGGCAGCACCCUUAGUCCUGCCCGGUGACGUGGGCAUUGCCUGCAGACAGGGCAGGGGUCAAAACCAGGCAGUGUGCUGCUUCUUUCCCCUCAGCCACUCCAUUUGAGGGAUGACUACUUCACCAGCUUGAGGUCAGGGAGGCAACAGUGGAUUUUGACAGCCCCAAAUGAGAGCCCAUGGAGAUGAGUCAAUGCAACCAUCAGAGCCUAGAAAGAGAUCCAGCCCUAAGGCACACAUCCACCUUGGUCAGCUGUCUGGAUGCCAGCAAGCAUUCAAAUUAUGACAAUAUGAGAGUUUUUCAAGGGUCCCUCAGCCUUGCUCCCUGUUCACCUUCUGUCUUCCACAAAUGCCAAAGAGCCCUUUCGAAAGCAGACGCCUUCACUGAAUCAUCCUUCUGACAGCUCCACCCUACACAAGGAAGAAGGAAACCAUCAGGGCAGAGGCCAGGAUGAAGAGAGCAUAUCAUCAUCUAAUUAAAAAUUCCAUCAUGAAGCAUCAUGAAGAAAAUGCAUGGCAUUUUCUAACUUUUUGCCCCAGUACUCACCCAAAGCAAUUUCCGUGUGCAAAAGGCCAACACACAUGGCUGUUGUCAUAUGACUAAUUUUAAUUUAACCUCAUGCUAUUAAUUCUAAGAGCUCAAGAUAAAUUGACUGCGGUUCAUUGUCCCUCCUUGCUCCUUUCAGUAGUAACCCAGAGUGACACAGCUGAUAGACAUGUGAGAUGUCACCAGAGAUGAAAGUAUUGUAUGAUAGGUUGGAUAUGAGGAAAAAUUUCUUCUGAGAAAGCGUGGUGAAGCAUUGGCACAGGCUGCCCAGGGAGGUGGUGGAGUCACCGUCCCUGGAGGUGUUCAAGAACAGGGUAGAUGUGUCACUGAGGGACAUGGUCAGUGGGCACAGUGGAGGUGGGUUGAUGGUUGGGCUAGGUGAUCGUAGUGAUGAUUCUAUGAUUCUACGAAAAGGACUGGCAGCUUUUGAAAAUAUAGAAAUGAAAUAGAAUAUAGAUAG